AUAGCCAUGCUUCAUAGUUUUACCGAGAACUGUUUUUUCCGCAGAUGCAUGUGGCUGGAGCAGCUGUGCGACGGAGCUCGUUGAUUGGGGCACAUGCCUGCUUUCUCCAUGGACAUGGAAUGUGUCCGGCCCUUCCCCUUGGCGUAGAGGAGCAGGUGGGAGAACGAAUAGAGGGAGGUGCAUGCACCUGCGGUGCGGUCCGUUUGAGCAUGAAGAACUCAAAGGGAUCGUUCACUCAACAGCUUCUCCCUAGCUCGCCCCCCACCCACCCCAAAAGACUUGAGAAGCCUCCCCGUUACUAGCUCAUACUCUCUCACCGCCCCUUUCCGUGUUGACUCAAAAACAUUCCUCCCCCACCUUCCUCGCGAUCGAGGUCCAAGGUGAAGGUGUCUGUCUCUCUUGAGCCGGCCGGCAGCUCCACGGCUGGUUUUUCUUCCUGAUUUCCUGGUCGAGGCACUCGAAGAAACAACAUGCACAUAUAACAACAGGAGGUCGCUGCUGAAUUCGCUGCUCAUUUUCUGAAACAGCCGCCCCAGGAACGCACCAUGGCUUUCAGGUCGAAGAUGGCGGGGGCGGCGGCCUUCGCAAAGAUGGCCGGGGCCAUGAAGCUCACGGGAGGCCUCAAGGUCGGCGCGGUUGCUGCAGCCGUGGUAGCCGCAACCACGGCUGCGAUUUCCGGGAAGGACACGAACAAAUGCAGCCGCAGUCCGAAAACAAGAUGAUGAUACAUAGAUAUCGAUCCCAACGAAUCGUUGGAAGUGGAGCAGCACGUACUUUGGACAUGUCCAAAUGGACCAACAUAUUAGCUCUUCUGAUGAUCUGAUCACCAUAUCAUUUUGCUUGUGCUUUGUCCGCGGCUGCAGAUUCAGCUAUUACUGGUUGCUUC